AAGAUCUCAAAACUUCAAGCCCUCCUUCAACACCAGUCGCUAGAGAAGCAGAAUCCUCAAGCGCUCCUUCCACUCCGGUCUCUCAAGAAGCAGAAUCCUCAAGCCCCCCCUCUACUAUGGUCUCCCAAGAUCUCAAAACUUCAAGCCCUCCUUCAACACCAGUCGCUAGAGAAGCAGAAUCCUCAAGCGCUCCUUCCACUACGGUCUCUCAAGAAGCAGAAUCCUCAAGCCCCCUCUCUACUAUGGUCUCCCAAGAUCUCAAAACUUCAAGCCCUCCUUCAACACCAGUCGCUAGAG